GGCGGUGUAGCUCAGCUGGUUAGAGCAACGGAAUCAUAAUCCGUGUGUCCGGGGUUCGAGUCCCUGCACCGCUACCA
rnacentral:tRNA from 1 species